GACGAACGCUGGCGGCGUGCUUAACACAUGCAAGUCGAACGGAAAGGCCCUGCUCUUGUGGGGUGCUCGAGUGGCGAACGGGUGAGUAACACGUGAGUAACCUGCCCUUGACUUUGGGAUAACUUCAGGAAACUGGGGCUAAUACCGGAUAGGAGCUCCUGCUGCAUGGGGGGGGUUGGAAAGUUUCGGCGGUUGGGGAUGGACUCGCGGCUUAUCAGCUUGUUGGUGGGGUAGUGGCUUACCAAGGCUUUGACGGGUAGCCGGCCUGGGAGGGUGACCGGCCACAUUGGGACUGAGAUACGGCCCAGACUCCUACGGGAGGCAGCAGUGGGGAAUAUUGCGCAGUGGGCGGGAGCCUGAUGCAGCAACGCCGCGUGCGGGAUGACGGCCUUCGGGUUGUAAACCGCUUUCGCCUGUGACGAAGCGUGAGUGACGGUAAUGGGUAAAGAAGCACCGGCUAACUACGUG
rnacentral:rRNA from 1 species